AAUCGUACGAGAUUUAUUUUUAAUCCAUGUUACUAAAGGCAUGAAAAGGAAGGAGAACUCUGUUAAUUUGUUUGUGAACAGAGAAAAGAAUGGCAACUAAUACUGUGUUUCAAGCGGGAAGACAUAAUGUCACCUCUCAGCUCUUACACUGACCUGGGCCUCUGGACUGUGCUUUGACCCUGUGAAACAAUCCCUUUUUCCAUGUCCCCAUUCUAUGUGAAGGAAACUAGGACAAAGCAGCCAAAAAGAAGCUGUUUUGUGCCUUAGCAAGCUGAACACCCUGGGGAACAUACUCUGGACUGUUUACUUCCAUGCUCUGCAGUGUAGCCAGGGGAGUUUUGCCUGCUUAAAUUAUCAUUUAGAGUAGAUGUGUAGAAGAUCUACUGUGGAAAGUACCUAUGUUUCUUACAUGACUUCUGUUUCAUCAGCAGCAUGGUUACCAAAUGCUAAUUAGUUUUCUUUCUCUCCUCCAACAUAAACUUCAGAAUUACCACCUUAAUGAAAAAUUCUAACUGUCUGGGAGAAUGCAUAGACUGGACAAAUCUAUUCCUCAAUGAAAGGAUUCUGUUCAAGGGUCUUCUCUAAGGCCACUUUACAUCUGUGAAACAACUUUGUGACAAAGGAUUCUCCAUCAAGACAUAGUCUUAAGCUCUACAUCACCACGUAUGGAAAACAAAGAGAUCGCCAGUACUGAAGCUGUAUAAGACAAUAACAGAGGUAAAUAGUCUUAGGGGAGGGUCAUCAUAUUUUAGGCAUAAAAAGGCACUUUCAUAGGCACCUUCUGAACUGAAAUUACUACGCUUAGAUCAAUUAAUACAAAUUCGAUUAGAGUUUUUUAGUGAGUUAGAGUCAGGACUAGUCCUGGAACACCUGAGAUUUUCGUGUCCACUGAAACCAUGAUGGAAGGAGUAAUGAAGCUUGUGUUCCAUGGUUCUAACAAAUGAAAUAUGGGAUUUCGCUUACUUCUGAGCCUGCCAAAAACAGUGGAUAGCAGACCUGAAUGUUCGGAAGAGUGCAACAAAGCUGGUAAACGGGCUGGAAAUCAUGUCCUACAAGGAGAAGUUGAGGGCACUUGGAUUGACUGAUCUGGAGAAAAGGAGGAUGAGAUGUAACCUCAGGGCUCUCUGCAACUUCCUGAGGAGGGAAGUGGAGAGGUAGGUGCUGAUCUCUGCUCCUGGUAACUGAUGACAGGAUUCAUGGGAAAGGCACAAAGCUGUGCCGGGGAGGUUCAGACUGGACAUUAGGGAAAACUUCUUUACCAUGAGGGUGGUCAAACAUUGGAACAGGCUUCCUAGUGAUGUGGCUUAUGCCCCAUGUUCAAGAGGCAUUUGGAUAAUGCCCUCAAUAACUUGCUUUAACUUUUUGUUAGCCCUAAAGUAGUCAGGCUGUUGGACUCAAUGAUCUUUGAAAUUCCUAUCCAACUGAACUAUUCUAUUCUAUAUGAUGAAAUUGGCUUGAGGUUAAUACUCAGGGAUUAAAACUUCACGUUAAUCUAAAAUGUUUUUCUCACAAAGCAGAAGAAAUAUUUGUCCAUGAAUGAAAAUUGCAAAUUAUGGUCUUAACUUUAUAAGAAAAUUAUCACAAUACUAGCAAAAUUUCAGAUAUCAAAAUCUGUCCUGCUACUAGUAAUUAAAAGCAGGAAACACCCUCCUUCAAACAUGGACACAGAUGAGCAAGGUCAUUCCAAAACCAAAACCCACACAUUUUAAAAAUUCA
rnacentral:lncRNA from 1 species